GACGAACGCUGGCGGCGCGCUUAACACAUGCAAGUCGAGCGAGAACCGGCCUUCGGGCCGGGGAAAGCGGCGAACGGGUGAGUAACACGUGGGUAAUCUGCCCUCGGCACCGGGAUAGCCCGGGGAAACCCGGAUUAAUACCGGAUGGCCCUUUGAGUCCUCGGAUUCAAAGGAAAAGGUAGCUUCGGCCUCCGGCCGAGGAUGAGCCCGCGGCGGAUUAGCUUGGUGGUUGGGUAACGGCCUACCAAGGCGACGAUCCGUAGCUGGUCUGGGAGGACGAUCAGGAGCACUGGGACUGAGACACGGCCCAGGCUCCUACGGGAGGAAGAAGUGGGGAAUCUUGCGCAAUGGGCGAAAGCCUGACGCAGCGACGCCGCGUGAGGGAAGAAGGCCUUCGGGUUGUAAACCUCUUUCAGGAGGGACGAAGCCACUCGGGUUAAUAGCCCAGAGGGUGACGGUACCUCCAGAAGAAGCCCCGGCUAACUACGUGCCAGCCGCCGCCGUAACAC
rnacentral:rRNA from 1 species